rnacentral:rRNA from 1 species
UACGUAGGGGCCUAGCGUUGUCCGGAAUUACUGGGCGUAAAGCGUGCGUAGGUGGUUUGUUAAGUCUGUUGUGAAAGCCCCGGGCUCAACCUGGGAAUGGCAAUGGAUACUGGCAGGCUAGAGUGCGGUAGAGGGUAGUGGAAUUCCCGGUGUAGCGGUGAAAUGCGUAGAGAUGCGGAGGAACACCGAUGGCGAAGGCAGCCCCCUGGGCUAACACUGACGCUCAGGCACGAAAGCGUGGGGAGCAAACAGG